GCAUAUCAAUAAGCGGAGGAAAAGAAACCAACAGGGAUUGCCUCAGUAACGGCGAGUGAAGCGGCAUCAGCUCAAAUUUGAAAUCUGGCCUCACGGCCCGAGUUGUAAUUUGCAGAGAAUGCUUCGGGCGAGGUCCGGUCUAAGUUCCUUGGAACAGGACGUCAUAGAGGGUGAGAAUCCCGUAUGCGACCGGUCGCCUCCGCCCAUGUGAAGCUUCUUCGACGAGUCGAGUUGUUUGGGAAUGCAGCUCUAAGCGGGUGGUAUAUUUCAUCUAAAGCUAAAUACUGGCCAGAGACCGAUAGCGCACAAGUAGAGUGAUCGAAAGAUGAAAAGCACUUUGGAAAGAGAGUUAAACAGUACGUGAAAUUGUUGAAAGGGAAGCGCUUGCAACCAGACUUGCGCGCGGCCGAUCAUCCGGUGUUCUCACCGGUGCACUCGGCCGCGCUCAGGCCAGCAUCGGUUCCGGCGGUUGGAUAAAGGCCUUGGGAAUGUAGCUCCUCUCGGGGAGUGUUAUAGCCCUCGGUGCAAUGCAGCCUGCCGGGACCGAGGACCGCGCUUCGGCUAGGAUGCUGGCGUAAUGGUUGUAAGCGACCCGUCUUGAAACACGGACCAAGGAGUCUAACAUCUAUGCGAGUGUUUGGGCGUUAAACCCAUACGCGGAAUGAAAGUGAACGGAGGUGAGAACCCUUAAGGGUGCAUCAUCGACCGAUCCUGAUGUCUUCGGAUGGAUUUGAGUAAGAGCAUAGCUGUUGGGACCCGAAAGAUGGUGAACUAUGCCUGAAUAGGGUGAAGCCAGAGGAAACUCUGGUGGAGGCUCGCAGCGGUUCUGACGUGCAAAUCGAUCGUCAAAUUUGGGUAUAGGGGCGAAAGACUAAUCGAACCAUCUAGUAGCUGGUUCCUGCCGA
rnacentral:rRNA from 1 species